CCAGACUCCUACGGGAGGCAGCAGUGGGGGAUAUUGCACAAUGGGGGAAACCCUGAUGCAGCGACGCCGCGUGGGUGAAGAAGCGCCUCGGCGCGUAAAGCCCUGUCAGCAGGGAAGAAAAUGACGGUACCUGAAGAAGAAGCCCCGGCUAACUACGUGCCAGCAGCCGCGGUAAUACGUAGGGGGCAAGCGUUAUCCGGAUUUACUGGGUGUAAAGGGAGCGUAGACGGCUGCGCAAGUCUGAAGUGAAAGCCCGGGGCUCAACCCCGGGACUGCUUUGGAAACUGUGUAGCUAGAGUGCUGGAGAGGCAAGCGGAAUUCCUAGUGUAGCGGUGAAAUGCGUAGAUAUUAGGAAGAACACCAGUGGCGAAGGCGGCUUGCUGGACAGUAACUGACGUUGAGGCUCGAAAGCGUGGGGAGCAAACAGGAUUAGAUACCCUCGUAG
rnacentral:rRNA from 1 species